GACGUAGGGCGCGAGCGUUGUCCGGAUUUAUUGGGCGUAAAGAGCUCGUAGGCGGCUUGUUGCGUCGACUGUGAAAACCUGCGGCUCAACCGUGUGGUCUGCAGUCGGUACGGGCAGGCUGGAGUUCGGUAGGGGAGACUGGAAUUCCUGGUGUAGCGGUGAAAUGCGCAGAUAUCAGGAGGAACACCGGUGGCGAAGGCGGGUCUCUGGGCCGAUACUGACGCUGAGAAGCGAAAGCAUGGGGAGCGAACAGG
rnacentral:rRNA from 1 species